rnacentral:rRNA from 1 species
CCUACGGGAGGCUGCAGUGAGGAAUAUUGGUCAAUGGACGAGAGUCUGAACCAGCCAAGUAGCGUGAAGGAUGACUGCCCUAUGGGUUGUAAACUUCUUUUAUAUGGGAAUAAAAUGUUCCACGUGUGGGCUUUUGUAUGUACCCUAUGAAUAAGGUUCGGCUAACUCCGUGCCAGCAGCCGCGGUAAUACGGAGGAUCCGAUCGUUAUCCGGAUUUAUUGGGUUUAAAGGGAGCGUAGGUGGAUUGUUAAGUCAGUUGUGAAAGUUUGCGGCUCAACCGUAAAAUUGCAGUUGAAACUGGCAGUCUUGAGUACAGUAGAGGUGGGCGGAAUUCGUGGUGUAGCGGUGAAAUGCUUAGAUAUCACGAAGAACUCCGAUUGCGAAGGCAGCUCACUGGACUGCAACUGACACUGAGGCUCGAAAGUGUGGGUAUCAAACAGGAUUAGAUACCCUUGUAGUC